GACGAACCGUGCGAACGCUGUUCGGAAUCACUGGGCUUAAAGGGCGCGUAGGCGGACUACCAAGUCAGGGGUGAAAUCCUGCGGCUCAACCGUAGAAGUGCCUUUGAUACUGGUGGUCUCGAGGGAGGUAGGGGCGUGCGGAACUUCCGGUGGAGCGGUGAAAUGCGUAGAGAUCCGGAGGAAGACCGGUGGCGAAGGCGGCCUGGCUGGGCAGUUACUGACACUGAGAUGCGGAAAGCGUGGGGAGCAAACAG
rnacentral:rRNA from 1 species